GUCUUGCAUGAGAGGAGAGGUUAGCACUCCUUGACAAGGAUGGAAGAGGAUCUUGGGCCUAACAACAUGCAUGCAGUUAAGGCAUUGCCACCUACUUUGUGGCAUCUAACCAUCAUUUUUC